GUGGGGAAUCUUCCGCAAUGGACGAAAGUCUGACGGAGCAACGCCGCGUGAGUGAUGAAGGUCUUCGGAUUGUAAAGCUCUGUUAAUCGGGACGAAAGAGCCUAGUGUGAAUAAUGCUAGGAAGUGACGGUACCCGAAUAGAAAGCCACGGCUAACUACGUGCCAGCAGCCGCGGUAAUACGUAGGUGGCAAGCGUUGUCCGGAAUUAUUGGGCGUAAAGCGCGCGCAGGCGGAUCUGCCAGUCUGUCUUAAAAGUUCGGGGCUUAACCCCGUGAUGGGAUGGAAACUACAGAUCUAGAGUAUCGGAGAGGAAAGUGGAAUUCCUAGUGUAGCGGUGAAAUGCGUAGAUAUUAGGAAGAACACCAGUGGCGAAGGCGACUUUCUGGACGAAAACUGACGCUGAGGCGCGAAAGCCAGGGGAGCGAACGGGAUUAGAUACCCCGGUAGUCC
rnacentral:rRNA from 1 species